UACAGAGGUCUCAAGCGUUGUUCGGAUUCAUUGGGCGUAAAGGGUGCGUAGGUGGCGCCAUAAGUCAGGUGUGAAAUCUCGGGGCUCAACCUCGAAACUGCACUUGAUACUGUGGUGCUGGAGUACUGGAGAGGAGAUUGGAAUUUACGGUGUAGCAGUGAAAUGCGUAGAUAUCGUAAGGAAGACCAGUGGCGAAGGCGAAUCUCUGGACAGUUACUGACACUGAGGCACGAAGGCCAGGGGAGCAAACGGG
rnacentral:rRNA from 1 species